rnacentral:rRNA from 1 species
CAGUCGCCACGGUAAUACGUAGGUGGCAAGCGUUGUCCGGAAUUAUUGGGCGUAAAGCGCGGGCAGGCGGAUCAGUCAGUCUGUCUUAAAAGUUCGGGGCUUAACCCCGUGAGGGGAUGGAAACUGCUGAUCUAGAGUAUCGGAGAGGAAAGUGGAAUUCCUAGUGUAGCGGUGAAAUGCGUAGAUAUUAGGAAGAACACUAGUGGCGAAGGCGACUUUCUGGACGAAAACUGACGCUGAGGCGCGAAAGCCAGGGGAGCGAACGGGAUUAGAUACCCGCGUAGUCCCUGUCUCUUAUACA